UACGGAGGGUGCAAGCGUUAAUCGGAAUUACUGGGCGUAAAGCGUGCGUAGGUGGUUCGUUAAGUCCGUUGUGAAAGCCCCGAGCUCAACUUGGGAAUUGCAGUGGAUACUGGCGAGCUGGAGUGCGGUAGAGGAAGGUGGAAUUCCCGGUGUAGCGGUGAAAUGCGUAGAGAUCGGCAGGAACACCCAGGGGGAAACCAGCCGACUGGGCAUUUGCUGACGCUGAGGUGCGAGAGCGUGGGGAGCGAACCGG
rnacentral:rRNA from 1 species